UACAGAGGGGGCAAGCGUUGUUCGGAAUUACUGGGCGUAAAGGGCGCGUAGGCGGCCUGCUAAGUCGAACGUGAAAUCCCCGGGCUCAACCCGGGAACUUCGUCCGAUACUGACAGGCUUGAAUCCGGGAGAGGGAUGUGGAAUUCCAGGUGUAGCGGUGAAAUGCGUAGAUAUCUGGAGGAACACCGGUGGCGAAGGCGGCAUCCUGGACCGGUAUUGACGCUGAUGCGCGAAAGCCAGGGGAGCAAACGGG
rnacentral:rRNA from 1 species